rnacentral:rRNA from 1 species
GGUAUCUUUGGGUCUGGCUCUUGUCUAUGUUUUUUGGAACAGAACGUCACAGAGGGUGAGAAUCCCGUGCGAUGAGAUGAUCCAGGCCUAUGUAAAGUUCCUUCGAAGAGUCGAGUUGUUUGGGAAUGCAGCUCUAAGUGGGUGGUAAAUUCCAUCUAAAGCUAAAUAUUGGCGAGAGACCGAUAGCGAACAAGUACAGUGAUGGAAAGAUGAAAAGAACUUUGAAAAGAGAGUGAAAAAGUACGUGAAAUUGUUGAAAGGGAAGGGCUUGAGAUCAGACUUGGUAUUUUGUAUGUUACUUCUUCGGGGGUGGCCUCUACAGUUUAUCGGGCCAGCAUCAGUUUGGGCGGUAGGAGAAUUGCGUUGGAAUGUGGCACGGCUUCGGUUGUGUGUUAUAGCCUUCGUCGAUACUGCCAGCCUAGACUGAGGACUGCGGUUUAUACCUAGGAUGUUGGCAUAAUGAUCUUAAGUCGCCCGUCUUGAAACAC